CUCUUCUGAUUUAAUGCUCUCAAAGAGACAGCAUUUCCCUUCCUUACUGCCAGCCCCAAAGCACACAGCAUGAUUUGGAUGCAUGGAUAUUUGAUGUGGAGGUGGGUGAAAACACACGUUCAAGCAGCACUUGCUCACGUUGUGUCUUAAAUUGCUGUGGUUGUGCCAUUAUCUAUGUCUUCAGCUGUGCAAAUUCUCUGAGCAAAGCUUCAUUUCACUCCAAAGGAUUGGCUGAGGCAGGAGAACAGCACUGGGUCAGGCACAGAUUCCUCUGGAGCCUCUCCAAUGUGCCUGAGCUUGCCAAAUGAAGGGAGUGGGGUCACGUCCCGUGUGAUGCUUGUUCCAUUGCACAAGAGGUCGAGCACCAAAGCUGGAGGAGGAGAGCUGGGGGAGCCUGUGCUUGGUACAAGGUAGGGCACGCUGCUGGGGCACGUGAUGGUGAGUCACGAUGGGGCUGAGUGCUGAUGUCCAUUUGUUGCUUUGAAUUUUAUAUAUAGUUCUGCAGUUAUGCCUAUAGAUACACUAAGCAGAAACACAGGGGACGUACUUUCUUCAGUGCCCCCCAGGAGAAAGCAGCAAUGUAAUGUAGUGAGAUAACUGCUAAUUGCCUGCUAUGACACAGAAUUUAAGCCAGAAGCAAACUGCAAUAAUAUGAGCUUUGUUGCCUGGGAUGGAACCAAAGAGAAAGCAAGACUCCCUCAAAAGGAGACUCCCUCAAAAGGAAAACCUUGGGUGUGGAAUUAGCAUAUCAAAGCUUUAUGUGUUAUUGUAGACAAGUUGAAUGCUGUUUCAUCUUCAUUAUCACACGCUAAUCGAAGCCGUUAGAACAAUCCAUAUCUGUAAGAUUAAUUAGCCAGCAGGAAGAGGAACAGAAGUCACAGGCUGCUGUGAAUACACAGCAGCCCUCCAAUCAUUUUUCCUUGUAAUUAGAGCAAAGUUUAGCGUGAACUAGAAAAAAACUGCAUCCUUGAAAUGAACCAACUCUUACCCAGCUUGAAAAGACUUCUACAGAGGCAUCUCAGGGUUUGGGGAAGAGUGUGCUUUUGGCAAGCUUCAGUGUGGUUUUGGGAGGUGAUAUCUAUCAAGUAUUAGGUGAAAUAAAAGAUCUUUUUUGCAGUAGUUGGUACCCUUUGGGCAAGGAGUAGGCAGUGGAAAAGCAACUUAAAGCUGCGGGAAUAAAUUUGUUGGUCCUAGACAGCCAUUAAGAGGAAGAAAAUUACUGACGAGUAAUAAGGAACGUCAGCUGAAAGGAGAAGAAACCAAUUGUAGGAUUGUAUAGAAACCUGUGCAGACACUGGGGCAGAGUUUCAGCAUAUUAUCUACCCAAAAGAGACCAAUUAAGACAAAAUGUGUGGGAGAAGCAGAAAAGAAGCAGGAUAUGCUGUAAGCAGUAGUAAUGCUACUGUUAGCAUUUACUAUCCUGCAAGCCCUUGUCGUAUCUGAGCCAAAAACAACUUACAGGAGGAAAAGCUACCAAGAUCUUAUGAAGACAGGUAAAGUAACAAGGAAUCUUUGCUGUCUUUAGAGUAAUAAGGGAAUAUGGAAUAACAGAAUCAUCUGAGUUGGAGAGAGCCUUCAAAGGCCAUCUAGUCCAACUCCCUGCAAUGACCAUAUUGCUCAGAGCCCUGACCAGCGUGACCUGAACGUCACCAGGGACAGGGCACCCACCACCUCUCUGAGCAACAUUUGCCAGUGCUUCAUUACCCUUACUAUCAAAACUUUUUCCUUAUAUCCAACCUAAAUCUCCACUCUUUUAGUUUGAAACCAUCUCCCCUUGUCCCAUCACAACAGACCCUCCUGAAGAGCCUGUCCCCUUCCCCCUUACAGCCCCUUCUAGGUACUGAAAGGCCACUCUCGUGUCUCCCCAGAGCCUUCUCUUCUCCAGGCUGCACAGCCUCAGCUCUCAACCUGUACUCACAGGGAAGGUGUCCCAUCCCUAAAUAUCCAUAAUAUCUCCAUCAGUAUUCAAGUGUUCAUUUGAAUGUUAUUAUUUUGUAGGGGUGGAGAGCUGAACAAGUGCAGACCAGAGCAGGAAAGGUUCCUUUGGCCAACCAUACUGAAAUUAUUUGGAGAUUUAUAGAAGAAGCAACAUAACCAUAGAGAAAGUGGAUUUCCAGGGAGGCCAGAAUGUGUUGCAAAGGCAACAUUGACUCAUGCAGACUGAAUUUUGGCAAAUAAAGUUUUACCAACAGCUGAACAGACAGCGAAUUUAACUUGCAAAACCUACGUACAGCACAGGCAUUGAGAAACAAAGAAGUACAUACAAAUUUCAGCUUUUAAGUACUGGCAGUAACUAAUUAAUAGCAUUAAGCAAGGUUAUUUCUUGCAAUUUGUAAUCCUUAAACUCUAGUUAGUAAAUAAUACUUUGGAAGCCAGAGUUGCAAGUUCUUUUCAAAUGCCUUUGUCUCUCUACUCUCGUGUAUUAUAUAGCAAGCCAAUAGGUUGCCAUCCUUAGUUAUGCUUGACAUUAAUUAAUUCUUUUUUUUUCCCACAGACUUCAAUUUUAGAUGCUAGAAAGAUAUUAUCAGGUUUGUAUUGUUAAGGUAAAAGAGAACUAAUGGUGUGAGGGCACAGGGGAUGUCCAAUUAACGCACCAGGACUCUCACAGGAGCUGCAGCCCAUCCAAGGGCCAUCUCCAGAAGCCCAGAGGUGCACAGGGGCACAAAGGCAAUGGAUAACCUAAAUCACAAUUGGUGAUUGCUGGUCUAUACCAGCAGCUGCAGUGGGACAGUGGUUCCAUGGGCUCCAAUGUGCGGAUACAGCAAUGAGUGAGACUGGGAUCCAGGGAGCAGAUUACUCUUCAGAAGUCACAAAGUGCCUCUUACCAGGAGUCUGUGACACCCUGUAGAAUUCUAAGAUGUUUUUCGAGGAUGAAUGAUGUAAGAACCAACUUUUGAAAUAAUUCUUCUCCGAUCUUUUACAGUGCUUUUUGAGUUGCUGUGAAAAGGAAAGUUAUCCAGAUUCAGAGAGAUCUGUAAAGAUGCAGGCACGCUAAGAGUAAAUAGAAUACUGCUGCAAAGAAAGACAGAACAGCGUAAGAGUAAAUUAAAUGCAUGAUUAAUAACAUAAUUAAUACAAUCAGGCAUUAAUCAACAAGCCAAACAGAUCACUCUGGUUUUAAACCCAUGUAUAUAAGUCUACGCUAAAGCUCUAUUGCCAAUGCCUGUGGCUCUGGGUGUUAGAUAUGAUGCUGAGAGUUUGAGGUGCUGCUGCCACCCUCCGUUUGUCUCAUAUUCUGCAGAAUUUUCCCCACAGACAACAGAAGCAAGCAGGAAUUGUUCUCUCAGAUGCUGCAAAUAAUAACUGUGUGGUGAACUCCAGCUGCUAGAGGUAAAGAAGUUGUUGCAUUCACAGGGUUGGGUCUGUUUUCCAGUCUUCAGCCAAAAUGGAGUUGGCUUUUAGCUUCUGGGUUUUUCUGCACUUGAAACUUGUUUUUGAAGAGUGGUGAAGUCAAAGCAAGUCACUUUGUAACUUAGAUGGACGUGAAAGUUUAACAGAGUUCAGGUCAGAGCUGAAGUCCAGGGAGCACAAAAAGAGACCAUAUUACCACUCACUGCUGCUUCACUUGAAUUUUUGUGCAACAUUUGUUUUGCUUUCAAGCUGCUUCCUGCUUUAGUAAGGGAAACCUAUAGCAAGUUGCUGCUCUGCUUCAUUGAUUUCCAUAGAAGCCUUCUUAAAAUUCAUUUUCCUCAAUGAAGGUGUAAUGGUGAGACUCCAGAGUUACUGAAACAGCGACUGUUGUUGAAUGACCCACAAUUCUAAUAUUUCUGUCCAGUAAUUCUCACCUAUCCAUUACUUUAACCUCCAGUUCUAAAUUCUUUAAGGCAAAAUCCUUUCUGUUCUGUGUCAGCAGCGUCAGGAAACGAGCUUUUAGUGCCUAAUAAAAUAAAUCUAUUGGCACUUGUGCUGGAGUCCGUCCACAGCAAUACGAUACUGCUUUGCUGCACUUGAAUUUGCUUUUUCUCUUUUGCACUGGGAUCAUCUUGAUUAAAUACAAUUACUUUGACUAAUAUCGUGGCACCAAGUGAGUGUAUUAAGUGCAGUGACAGCUGCCGACAGCAGUUUCUCCCUGCUAGAACUACCAAGUGUACCUCAGCUCUGGUCCAUGUUUGAACCACACUGAAGCCCUGGAUCUUACAAGCAACCAGCUCAGCUCUGCCUAAAUAGCACUCUUUGGAUCACCUUUAUUAAAGAAAUUGAGAUCAGAUGAGAAAGGAGAAACAUUCUGGGCUUUCUAUAGGGCCGGUGAAAAGGAAAGGUGUUAUUAAAACAAUGUCAAGGGAAAAACAGGCUCCUAGGAAAACUAAACAUCUGUUCAGCAUCAUGAAGCAUAAGUAGUAAGUGCAUAAGGUGCAUAAGUAGUAAGAAACUUCAGCAGGGAGAAGGAGGUGAUUGUCCCCCUCUCCUCAGCUCUUGUGAGGCCCCAUCUGCAGUAUUGCAUCCAGGCCUGGGGCCCCCAGUACAGGAUGGAUGUAGAGCUCUUGGAGUGGGUCCAGAGGAGGGCCACUAAGAUGAUCAGAGGGCUUUCCUAUGAGGAAAGGUUGAGGGAACUGGGCUUGUUUAGCUUGGAGAAGAGAAGACUCCAGGGAGACCUCAUUGUGGCCUUCCAGUACUUGAAGGGAGCAUAUAAACAGCAGGGGGAACAGCUGUUUAUGAGGGUGAAUAGUGAUAGGACAAGGGGGAAUGGUUUUAAACUGAGACAGGGGAGGUUUAGGUUAGAUACGAGGAGGAAAUUUUUUUACAGAGAUUGGUGACACACUGAACAGGUUGCCCAAGGAGGCUGUGGAUGCCCCAUCCCUGGAGGCAUUCAAGGCCAGGCUGGAUGUGGCUCUGGGCAGCCUGGUCUGCUGGUUGGCGACCCUGCACAUAGCAGGGGGUUGAAACCCGAUGAUCAUUGUGGUCCUUUUCAACCCAGGCCAUUCUACGAUUCAUCAGCGUCAUUCCAGGUUGCUCUAUGUCAGCAACCUGCAUUGUAUUCAACUACAGGGGAUACACUGAGUGCACCUGCGCAUCCCCCACUGACAUCUCUUUUAGUAGCUUGGCUAAAGUGGCCCACGAUAGGUCAAGAAGGAUUGAAAUAGAAAGAACAAAGUACUCAGACUUUUUAAGCUUAAAAUAUAUAUAUGUUUUUUUUAAUAUGCAACUGUUUUAGAUGGAAUAAUUUUGUUAUGAUAACUGUUUUAUGUUUUUGGAGGAUUAAGAAGGAAAGGAGAUUUCAGUGUAGGGAUCACAAAAUAAUUAUUAAUCCUCAUUUAAGCAAAACUGUGUUUUUAUCUACAAGAGGAGAACCUGAAGCCCAGAGGCGAACGCGCGCAUUGCAGCAAAGACGCCACUUCCGCGUUUCCGCGCGCAUUCCUAGUAGGGCCUGGAGGACCUUCCACCAUCGAGACUGGUGGCAUAGAGCGGCUACAGCAGUUUCAGCCACUUCCGCAUUCCAACGCGCAUGCGUGUGGCUGCACGGGAGACAACUACAGAGACCGGCGGACCCGGUGGCUCAGAGCGGCUUCAGCAACGGGACGCCACUUCCGCACGCGUGCAUGGAAGGGAUUGAAGGACCAAUGACAUCCAGUCCUGGAGGACUGGUGGGGCAGAGCGGUUACAUUCGAAUCCACCGCUGGAUCUGAUCAGUGCUGAUCGGUAUCUGAGGGGGUCAGGAGGAUGGGGCUGUGUUCGUUGGUGCCCAGCAACAGGACAAGGGGCAACAAGCACACACGAGAAAAUAGGAGUUCCAUACGAACAUCAGACAAAAAAACUUCUUUACUGUGAGGGUGGCAGAGCUCUGGAACAGGCUGCCCAGGGAGGUGGUGGGGUCUCCUUCUCUGGAGAUAUCCAAACCCACCUGGAUGCUUUCCUGUGCAACCUGCUUUAGGGAACCUGCUUCAGCAGGGCUUGGACUGGGGGAUCUCCAGGGGUCCCUUCCAACUCCCAGGGUUCUGUGGUUUUGUAGCAGAUGGCCAUAUGUGCAGUCAGUUGGAUAGAAAACCCUGUACUCACAUGACCAACACUUACUGCAGGAAGGUACAGUAUAUCAGAAGCAGCUGUUCAGGGACUUCAGACUUCAAGCAUGUUUCCAUGCAGCUUUCUUUAUGCUGUUCCUUUACCGUUAAUUCCAUUAAUUCAAGGAAUUUCAAGCCAUUUAUUUCUGGGUGCCUCAUUCAUCCUCAUUGCUUCUUCUCUGGUAUCUCAUCCGUGUUUCUUGCAUAAAGUUUUUAAAGGCUGGUUCUUCGUGACUCUCCUCAGUAACUGGGGGGGAAAAAAAAUCCACAAUUCAACACCAUUUCAGGAUUUGUUCUAUUUGUGUUCCUGAAGAAAGCUAGGAUCAUGCUAGUCUGAGCAACACCACAGGUCCAUUUUGUCUUCAAUUUCAUUACAAGGGAGAAGAAAGAAGUGAUCCUAAAUAUUAAUUGAACAAGGAAAGAAUCAAGUCUGCAAACUCUGUAACAGAACAUGACACAGCCUAAGAACUUAAAAGGCAUAACAAGUUGCCUAGUGCAUGCAUCUUAUUUUAUGCAUUAUUUUAUUUAAAAUGCUUACUUGAAUAUAAAAUUUGCAGCUGAACUUUCAUGAAGAUUGCAGUGUGGUAUCACUGAACUGAGCACUGUGGCUGGGCUUCUGCUACAGAUUCAGGCACCUUUAUUUAGGUAACUGAAUGUUUGCUUUUCUCUUAGGCUCUCUGUACAGUCAAUACAGUUAAUGAAAUACAGAGGAUAUUUCAUGCCUAGAUGAGCAGUUUUUAGAUCAAAUCACAUCUCUCAUUGCCUUACCUUCAUGGUCAAUGUCGUCAGUAUCACUCUCCCUCUCCUCUUCAUCCUCAUCCAGAUUUCCUCGUGUUAGAAUCAGCUCAGAAGGACCCAUUGCAGAAGCAUCAUCAGACCCUUAGAAAGAACAGAAAUGGUUGUAGGCAAAACAUCACACUAACAAGUAAGUUAGCUCAUGCCCUGACCAUUUCUAUGUGCAUACUGUGAAUAUCUACUCUAAAGGGAAUCUGUAAGUAUGAGCUUUCUGUCCAAAGAUUCAGGAUAGACUGCAUCGGCACCAAACUGAACCUCAUAUAAGGCAACAGCUCAAGCAACAGCAGAGUUGUCUCAUAUUCUAAUUUGACUGUUUCAUCUUUUCUCAAAUAUUUCAUUAUUCCAAGUACAUCCACUGCUUUAUCUACACACCAGGGUUUCUUCUUUGCAUGUUUGUGACUGACACAUAGUAGAGCUAAGUCUGACCCAUCCCCCAGGAACUAAAGUCCCACUCCACUAAGAUGAACAUGCUUUCAUGUUUUUGCAGAGGAAAGCUCUGUGUGAUUUGACAAGGCAGGCUCUUCAGAGAGCUUCUGCAGUGAACUUCACCUUCAUUCUUGAGAAAAUACCUGCAAGUGUGUUGCCCUGCAUACACACAGGGCCCAUGUCCUUCCGAAGGCGCUCCAGCUGAUCUUUCUUUUGUUUAUUUUGAGCCUUUUCCUGUGGGUACAAAGUCACAAGUGGCUUCUGAAAACAUUUAAACUAUAUCUCCCACAAUACUCUGUCCCAGGGGCAAAAAAAAAAAAAAAACCCAAAAAACAGAAGUCAACAAGCAAGUCUUACAUUGCACCUGAAGUUACACAAAACUUCUGGUUAAGCAUGGAAAGCUGAGUGGUGAGUGCUGGAACAGGCUGCCCAGGGAGGUUGUGGAUGCCCCUUCCCUGGAGAUGUUCAAGGCCAGGUUGGAUGGGGCCCUGAGCAACCUGGUCUAGUAAAUGGGGAGGUUGGUGGCCCUGCCCAGCAGGGGGGUUGGAGAUUCAUGAUUCUUGAGGUCCUUUCCAACCCAGGCCAUUCUGUGAUUCUGUGAAAGCAACCUCCAACACGCUGAACUUCAGGAACAUUUUCAGCUGCAUCAGGAAAUCAAACUCAAUGAAGCUGCGUCUGCAAGAACUGUCCUUGCACAGCCAGAACUCCAUGUGAGCAGAGCUACUCAUUUUGGCAUUCCAAUUCAGUCUUCAUUAUGAAUUAUCUAAGCCAAAACUGUGCAUUCCACUGGUGCAGAAAUAUGCCCCAGUAAACGUGAAUUAUUUAUCACUAGAACAGCAAGCAACAGCUCUUCUACGAAACAUCCCUAUGUGUUCCCCAAAUCUAGGGGAAAAAGUCAGACUGUGAGCUUCAGACUUUUUCCCCACUUAAUAUUAAAUGAAAUGUUACAGCCUCACAACACAGAGUGAAUAAAAGUGACUGCAAGGUACACCACUCCAGGCUACAGUAGUUAAAAGCACUUACCAAUGUUUUCCUCAGGCGCUCAUAUUCUGGACGAUACUCCCUGCAAAGAUAAACAUACACAGUGCAUUCAUUCUCAGCUAAUACAUCAUUUCUGUUAAGAAGGGAUCACUUUGGAGGCUUGUCCCUAUCCCAAACUAACAGUUCUUCUAACCAAAUGUAUUCUGAAACUAAAGGAUGCAAAAUAAGUGAAUAUACUCCAUUAAAAUGCCAAAUCUUUCUCAUGCAGUCUGGUUAGAUUAAAAAAUAAAAAUUGGGAAAAAAAACAACAACCCAGCUCUAUAGAACUAGUCAUUACACUGCCAUAACCAGCAGAUCACUCACUCUGACUAAACAUUUAAAGUGGGAAAAAUUAGAUGUUAGGAAGGAAUUCUUCACUCAGGGAGUGGUGAGACUCCGGCAUAAGUUGCUCAAAGAAGCUGUAGAUGCUCCAUCCUUGGAGGCAUUCAAGACCAGAAUGGAUGGGGCCCUGGGCAGCCUGAUGUGCUGGGUAGCCACUUGAUCUAGUGGGUGGCAACCCUGUUCAAGGCAAUGGGGUUGGAACUGGAUGAUCUUUAAGACCCCUUCCAACCUAAGCCAUUCUACUAUUCUAUGAAGUUCGCAAUAAGCUCUCUGUGUAUCCAUCUAACCUGUGUGGCUGGCUGUGUACAUACAUGACAUUCAGUCUCCCUGCUAGUUUGAACUGGGGAGCAUAAAGUUGUAGCAGCCUUUCUCAGACUGUCUGAUCCAGCAUCACAUGUUCUCCUCUAAAAACAAUACAUGGUCUGUCUUAGCUAUUUUCAUGUAAUCCAAAUUCCUAGAUUUGCUGUCUAAUGUUACAGAGCAGUCUAGCAGUAUUUUGUGAGGAAGAAUCCAGUAAAUCCAUCAAGUUCUCAAAGAAUUCUUGAAUUUCAGCUCACUCACCUAUUCUGUCUACCUCUUUAUAAGGACAAUUCAAAGCUUGUUCAUUGUACAGAAGCAGGUCAAAAAACUGACUUCAGAAUUUGCUAGCGCAGUUGGCUUUUACUUCUUUUCCCCAUUGAAUAGCACACAAAAAAUUCACCACUGCAUAGUUUCUUUUGAUUGCUUCUUAUACUCUUACAUUUCAGCUUACUAGAAACCUUAUUACCUUGGCUUGAAAAGUGAACACUUCUUCAAAUCAAAGGAGCAGUUUAGUGAAUCAGGAAUUUCAGCAAGUAUUCAGAGGGUCGGGAAUCAACUGUUAUCAACUUACCUCUCAUAUUCUUCUACAGCUUUAGAGAGCUGAACAAAAAAAUCAUCCAGUCCUGUGCCUAACACAGCAGAAACACCAACCACCUGUAAAAGAAAACCAUACAUUAGAACUAAAAGAUAAAAUUUACCCCAAGGCAGAAGAACAACGAGGAAACACACAGAGAUCCUUUUUAUGGAUGUCACAUAUUUUCCCACAUUGACUCAGAAGAAUAAAACUUGGUGAAAUAUACUCACUUGGAUGCGUUUUGUCGCUUUUC